CAGUAUAUGCUACACAGGGGGGAAGAUUAUUGGAGUUUGCCUGCAGUAUUCCCAAGACAUUAUGAUAUCAGAUACAACAGGACACCUUAGGAGGUCUUGAUGGGUAAAAGCUGUUUUGGCAUCACAGUGAAGACCUGUACAAUUUUUGUCCUGAGUGAGUGUCAAAGCCGCGUCCAUACAGCUGAUUGGCAAAGAAGCAAGCGUUGGAUUACUAUUGACCUAAUAUUGAUGUCCCAGGCCAUGCAUAAGCCAUAUAUUUUAACCCAUUAAGGACUCAGCCUAUUUGGGCCUUAAAGGGGUACUCC